AGAGUUUGAUCCUGGCUCAGGACGAACGCUGGCGGCGUGCUUAACACAUGCAAGUCGAACGGGCCUGCUUGCUUUUUUGGUGGGUGGGUUAGUGGCGAACGGGUGAGUAACACGUGAGUAACCUGCCCUCUUCUCCUGGAUAACUGCUUGAAAGGGCGGCUAAUACGGGGUGGUCUGGCCUGCCUGCAUGGGUGGGUUGGUAUAGGUUCAACUGUUUGGUUGUUCUGGUGGGGGAUGGGCUCGCGGCUUAUCAGCUUGUUGGUGGGGUGAUGGCUUACCAAGGCUUUGACGGGUAGCCGGCCUGAGAGGGUGGACGGUCACACUGGGACUGAGAUACGGCCCAGACUCCUGCGGGAGGCAGCAGUGGGGAAUAUUGCACAAUGGGCGGAAGCCUGAUGCAGCGACGUCGCGUGAGGGAUGGAGGCCUUCGGGUUGUGAACCUCUUUUUCCGGUGGUGAAGGCCUGCUCCUUGUUGUGGGUGGGUUGACGGUAGCCGGGUUAGGAAGCGCCGGCUAACUACGUGCCAGCAGCCGCGGUAAUACGUAGGGCGCGAGCGUUGUCCGGAAUUAUUGGGCGUAAAGGGCUUGUAGGCGGCUGGUUGCGUCUGCCGUGAAAUCCUCUGGCUUAACUGGGGGCUUGCGGUGGGUACGGGCUGGCUUGAGCGCAGUAGGGGAGGCUGGAACUCCUGGUGUAGCGGUGGAAUGCGCAGAUAUCAGGAGGAACACCGGUGGCGAAGGCGGGUCUCUGGGCUGUUGCUGACGCUGAGGAGCGAAAGCGUGGGGAGCGAACAGGAUUAGAUACCCUGGUAGUCCAUGCUGUAAACGGUGGGCACUGGGUGUGGGGGCCCUUUUCCGGGGUUUCUGCGCCGUAGCUAACGCGUUAAGUGCCCCGCCUGGGGAGUACGGUCGCAAGGCUAAAACUCAAAGGAAUUGACGGGGGCCCGCACAAGCGGCGGAGCAUGCGGAUUAAUUCGAUGCAACGCGAAGAACCUUACCAAGGCUUGACAUGGGCUGGUUGCUGCCGGAGACGGUGGUUCCCUUGCUGCUUUUUGUGGUUUGGGCUGGCCUGCAGGUGGUGCAUGGUUGUCGUCAGCUCGUGUCGUGAGAUGUUGGGUUAAGUCCCGCAACGAGCGCAACCCCUGUCUCGUGUUGCCAGCACUUCGGGUGGGGACUCGCGGGAGACUGCCGGGGUGAACUCGGAGGAGGGUGGGGAUGACGUCAAAUCAUCAUGCCCCUUAUGUCUUGGGCUUCACGCAUGCUACAAUGGCCGGUACAGUGGGUUGCGAUGCCGUGAGGCGGGGCGAAUCCCUUAAAGCCGGUCUCAGUUCGGAUCGGUGCCUGCAACUCGGCACCGUGAAGUUGGAGUCGCUAGUAAUCGCGGAUCAGCAACGCCGCGGUGAAUACGUUCUCGGGCCUUGUACACACCGCCCGUCACGUCAUGAAAGCCGGUGACGCCCGAAGCCCGUGGCCUUAUGGGGAGCGGUCGAAGGCGGGGCUGGUGAUUGGGACGAAGUCGUAACAAGGUAGCCGUACCGGAAGGUGCGGCUG
rnacentral:rRNA from 1 species